rnacentral:rRNA from 1 species
AGAGUUUGAUCCUGGCUCAGAUUGAACGCUGGCGGCAUGCCUUACACAUGCAAGUCGAACGGCAGCACGGAGCUUGCUCUGGUGGCGAGUGGCGAACGGGUGAGUAAUAUAUCGGAACGUACCCCAGAGUGGGGGAUAACGUAGCGAAAGUUACGCUAAUACCGCAUACGAUCUACGGAUGAAAGUGGGGGAUCGCAAGACCUCAUGCUCGUGGAGCGGCCGAUAUCUGAUUAGCUAGUUGGCGGGGUAAGAGCCCACCAAGGCAUCGAUCAGUAGCUGGUCUGAGAGGACGACCAGCCACACUGGAACUGAGACACGGUCCAGACUCCUACGGGAGGCAGCAGUGGGGAAUUUUGGACAAUGGGCGCAAGCCUGACCCANCAAUGCCGCGUGAGUGAAGAAGCCUUCGGGUUGUAAAGCUCUUUUGUCAGGGAAGAAACGGUUCUCUCUAAUACAGGGGGCUAAUGACGGUACCUGAAGAAUAAGCACCGGCUAACUACGUGCCANCAGCCCGCGGUAAUACGUANGGUGCAAGCGUUAAUCGGAAUUACUGGGCGUAAAGCGUGCGCA